CUACAGGUUGCAGCAGUAGGGAAUUUUGCGCAAUGGACGAAAGUCUGACGCAGCGACGCCGCGUGGAGGAUGAAGGUUUUCGGAUCGUAAACUCCUGUUAAGUGGGAAGAAAUGGCAAGAGUUAAUACCUCUUGCAGCUGACGGUACUACUAGAGAAAGCACCGGCAAAUUUCGUGCCAGCAGCCGCGGUAAUACGAGGGGUGCAAGCGUUAUUCGGAGUUACUGGGCGUAAAGGGCGUGUAGGCGGCUUAUUAAGUCUGCUGUUAAAGACCUUGGCUUAACCGAGGACCGGCUGCAGAUACUGAUAGGCUAGAGGGCAAGAGAGAGAAGUGGAAUUCUCGGAGUAGCGGUAAAAUGCGUAGAUCUCGAGAGGAACACCGGUUGCGAAGGCGGCUUCUUGGCUUGUCCCUGACGCUAAGGCGCGAAAGCGUGGGUAGCGAACAGGAUUAGAUACCCCAGUAGUC
rnacentral:rRNA from 1 species